rnacentral:rRNA from 1 species
UACGGAGGGUGCAAGCGUUGUCCGGAUUCAUUGGGUUUAAAGGGUGCGCAGGCGGGACAUUAAGUCAGGGGUGAAAGACGGUUGCUCAACAAUCGCAGUGCCUUUGAUACUGGUGUUCUUGGGUAACCUUGAGGUAGGCGGAAUGGGUGGUGUAGCGGUGAAAUGCAUAGAUACCACCCAGAACUCCGAUUGCGAAGGCAGCCUACUGGGCCAACACUGACGCUCAUGCACGAAAGCGUGGGGAGCAAACAGG